rnacentral:rRNA from 1 species
ACGGAAGGCAGCAGUGGGGAAUAUUGGGCAAUGGGCGAAAGCCUGACCCAGCAACGCCGCGUGAAGGAAGAAGGUCUUCGGAUUGUAAACUUCUUUUAUGAGGGACGAAGGACGUGACGGUACCUCAUGAAUAAGCUACGGCUAACUACGUGCCAGCAGCCGCGGCAAUACGUAGGUAGCGAGCGUUAUCCGGAUUUACUGGGUGUAAAGGGCGCGUAGGCGGAGAAGCAAGUCAGGUGUGAAAUCUAUGGGCUUAACCCAUAAACUGCACUUGAAACUGUUUUUCUUGAGUGCUGGAGAGGUAGACGGAAUUCCUAGUGUAGCGGUGAAAUGCGUAGAUAUUAGGAAGAACACCAGUGGCGAAGGCGGUCUACUGGACAGUAACUGACGCUGAGGCGCGAAAGCGUGGGGAGCAAACAGGAUUAGAUACCCUGGUA